CACGUAGGGUGCGAGCGUUGUCCGGAAUUAUUGGGCGUAAAGAGCUCGUAGGCGGUGUGUCGCGUCGGCCGUGAAAACCUGCAGCUUAACUGUGGGCUUGCGGUCGAUACGGGCAUCACUGGAGUUCGGCAGGGGAGACUGGAAUUCCUGGUGUAGCGGUGAAAUGCGCAGAUAUCAGGAGGAAACACCGGUGGCGAAGGCGGGUCUCUGGGCCGAUACUGACGCUGGAGGAGCG
rnacentral:rRNA from 1 species